UAAGCAAUUAUACAGCGAAACUGCGAAUGGCUCAUUAAAUCAGUUAUCGUUUAUUUGAUAGUUCCCUGCUACUUGGAUACCCGUGGUAAUUCUAUGGCUAAUACAUGCAAAAAGCCGCGACUUCGGAAGCGGCGUAUUUAUUAGACUAAAGACCGACGCCCUUCGGGGCUUCCCGGUGAUUCAUGGUAACCUGUCGGAUCGCACGGCCCCGCGCCGGCGACGGAUCAUUCAAAUUUCUGCCCUAUCAACUUUCGACUUUAGUCUAGUGGACUAAAGUGGUUGCAACGGGUAACGGAGGGUUAGGGCUCGACCCCGGAGAAGGCGCCUGAGAAACGGCGACUACAUCCAAGGAAGGCAGCAGGCGCGCAAAUUACCCAAUCCCGACACGGGGAGGUAGUGACGAUAAAUACCGAUGCAGGGCUCUUUCGGGUCUUGCAAUUGGAAUGAGUACAAUCUAAAUCCCUUAACGAGGAGCAACUAGAGGGUCAGUCUGGUGCCAGCAGCCGCGGUAAUUCCAGCUCUAGUAGCGUAUAUUAAAGUUGGUGUGGUUAAAAAGCUCGUAGUUGAACCUCGGCCCCGCCCUGCCGGUCCGCCUCACCGCGUGCACUGGACCGGGCGGGGCCUUCCCCGGGGGAACGGCAUGCCCUUCGCUGGGCGUGCCCGGGAACCCGGACCUUUACUGUGAAAAAAUUAGAGUGUUCAAGGCAGGCUCGCGCCCGGAUACAUUAGCAUGGAAUAAUAGAAUAGGACGCGCGGUUCUAUUUUGUUGGUUAUGGGACCGCCGUAAUGAUUAAUAGGGUCAGUCGGGGGCAUCAGUAUUCGGCUGUCAGAGGUGAAAUUCUUGGAUUUGCCGAAGACUCACUACUGCGAAAGCAUUUGCCAAGGAUGUUUUCAUUAAUCAGGAACGAAAGUUAGGGGAUCGAAAACGAUCAAAUACCGUCGUAGUCUUAACCAUAAACUAUGCCGACUAGGGAUCGGGCGGUGUUGCUUUCUGACCCGCCCGGCACCUUUCGAGAAAUCAAAGUCUGUGGGUUCC
rnacentral:rRNA from 1 species